rnacentral:rRNA from 1 species
ACCAUUCAUUAAGUUGGGGACGUCUAGCGAGACUGCCAAGUGAUAAACUGGAGGAAGGUGGGGGAUGACGUCAAAUCAUCAUGCCCCUUAUGACCUGGGCUACAAACGUGAUACAAUGGCUGGAACAAAGGGAUGCGAAGCAGUGAUGUGGAGCGAAACCCAUAAAAACAGUCUCAGUUCGGAUUGAAGUCUGCAACUCGACUUCAUGAAGUCGGAAUCGCUAGUAAUCGCGGAUCAGAACGCCGCGGUGAAUACGGUUCUCGGGGUUU